UCUGAUAUAGGCUCAGAGGUAGGGUGUCUGUAUAAAAUGCAGAAAACCCUGGGCUCAAUUCUCAGUACCAUAA
rnacentral:tRNA from 1 species